rnacentral:lncRNA from 1 species
UUUAGAUUUGACCAAAAGUUUGGAUGAGUGCAAAACUGAAGAUUCUUUGUGAAUUUAAUGACUUGAUUCAAACGCCUGUAGAGACUUGAAGACGAGACUGAGUCAGUCCAGAAGGAGGAUAUUUUUGCCGGUUUCGCAUCCGUGCUUGCUGUUUGCCCAUCACUGCAGUUUAUGGCACUGCAGAGACCCGUGUUGAGAGAAGCAGGAGAGUAAGGAGCUGACGCCGGGAGCGCCGGGGAAGUCUCAUUUUCUUUCCGCCGUGCCAAGUGCUUUGAGAUCCCCGCGACACAGCUUUGCCAGAGGAGCGGAGAGAGGGACACACACGCACACUCACACACACACUCACACACGCGAGACACGGGGACUUCUGUGGAACAGCAGCCGUGCGCAGGGAUCCAUCCCGCUGGAGAGCCCUGGCCUUUGAAGUGUUACGAGGAGGAGGAGGAGGAGGUAAGUGGCGAGGCGACCCCCCCCCCCCCCUUCC